GUCAACAAAGACAGUCAUCCUGAAUCUUAAACUUGAGCUCUGAGGAGAGAAACAUUCUAGUUUUGAAGUAAAGCCACCAGUGACAGCCCUAGUUCUGGUCACUCUGAGAUUGCUGCUUCUGGACAGCCCACUGCGUAAAGAAGACUCACAAGCUCUUGAACGCUCUCCUUUGCUUUCCUCUGAACUAUUUGAAGCUGAAGAGGAUGAAGAGGAUGAAAUCACCUAACAAGGCAUUUCUCGAAGCAUAUCCCUGUCUCUAACUGAUGCCCAACUGUAUUAAAGCAACCUUAACGCAAAGGUAACAUGAUAUGAAGACUGGCAAAUGUGAGUAAAGAGUAUAUGGGAGUCCUCUGAAUUAAUUCUGGCAAAAUUUUUGUAACUUUGAAUUUAUUUUAAAAUAAAAUUUUAAAAGGUACUUUUAUUAGAGUGUUUAAUAAAAUAGCAUUUUCCUUUCAACAAAAGUAAAUUAUAGAAGACAGUGCAUAAAUACUUCAAAAACUCAUGAAAAAAAUGGAAUUUAAAAUUAAUUUUGGUACAAAAAACUUUAAACCCAUGUUUUUAUAUUUUACAACCAUACAGUACUCAUCUCCCAUGAACUUUGUGAGGAACCCUGGUACUUCACACAGAAUGCAUGCAUUUGAAUUUCAUGAUGCAAACUCACUCAUUUACCUACUCUCUGCUGUGGCCUGGGAAAGCAGAAGAUGGCCCGGGUGUUUGGGCCCCUGCACCCACGUAGGAGACCGGAAGAAGCUCCUGAGUCCUGACUUCAGAUCAGCUCAGCUCUGGCCAUUGAGGCCAUCUGGAGAGUGAACCAGCGGAUGAAGACUUCUCUCUCUCUCUCUGCCUCUCUCUGUAAUUCUACCUCUCAAAUGAAUAAAUAAAAUCUUUAAAAAAAAAUAACAGCAAUAUGAUACAAAUAUCACUGGGUCCCUAUAUUCUUCUGUAUUAAAGGCAAAACUCUAAUGCUUAAAAAUUGAGUCUCAGUUUUAUGAAAUGGCACUAGAUGAGGCAGACCACCAGAGAACUGCAUAACUGAAAUUAAAAGAUAUUUUGGUGAAAAAAAAUUUUGUAGACUUCUCUAUGCAAUUUCAAAACUUUUUGUAUCAAACAUUUUUAAAUAUUAUUUUUCCAUAAAUAUUUUGAAGUACCCUCAUGUGCAUAUAUACAGAGACACAAAUGUGAGAAUUAUCAUAGCUGGUCUUUAAAAUAGUCUUUGACAAUUAUUUCCAUUAUUUUACCAAUUUUAUUCUUUCAAACAUGAAUGAGUCUAAGCCACAAUUUUAACAAGAUAAAUUAUUAGUUUAAGUUUGCAACCUCUGAUCUAUCACUGUUUUCAUGUAAAAGGAAACACUACAUCCAAGUUGAACACACACAGUAUUUAGGAGAAAUGACUGCUAAAACUGAUAACCAGCUCCUAAACAACACAGCAUUUAUGGAAACUGACAGCUAACAUCAGACACAUGGUGAAAGAAUUACAAGACGAGAAAUAAAACAAGAUACCUGCUUUUACAACUGCUACUCAACUUUACAUAACAGUACCCUGUUUUGUCUAUAGUUUCAGUUGCUCAGUCUGAAUAUUAGCUGCAAACUGCAUGAACAAACUAUGCAUAGUUUUAGAGUACGUGACAUUCUGAGUAACAUGAUGAAAUCCCAUGUGUGCCUCCCAGCCAAUCCAAGCCAAGAAUCAUCUCUUUGUCUAAUUAAUGCUACAGCACCACAUGGUAGUUGAGAUGAGACUCACAUAACUUUCAUUACAGCAUACCGUUAUGUUAUUAAACUGCAAGUUAAUUAAAUUAUGAAAUGUUGGAAGAUUAAGCUUUAUCAGAGAUAUUUCUAAUCACAGAUGACAUGAUCUCACAGUGACAGAAACUUCCAAAGAACGCCCAAGAAAGCUAAUUAGGGAUUAUAAAUAACUUCAGCAAAAUCAUAGGGCACAAGAACAGCACAUAAAUGCCAUUAUAUCUUUUUUUUUUUUUUUUUGACAGAGUUAGAGACAGAGGUCUUCCUUCCGUUGGUUCACUCCCCAAAUGGCCGCUACAGCCAGUGCUGCGCCGAUCCGAAGCCAGGAGCCAGGUGCUUCCUCCUGGUCUCCCAUGGGGUGCAGGGCCCAAGGACCUGGGCCAUCCUCCACUGCCCUCCCAGGCCACAGCAGAGAGCUGGACUGGAAGAGGAGCAACCGGGAUUAGAACCCGGAGCCCAUAUGGGAUGCUGGCGCCGCAGGCAGAGGAUUAAUCUAGUGAGCCAUGGCGCCGUCCCCCGCCAGUUAUAUUUCUACGUAAUACUAAUGAACAAUCAUAAAAAGAUAUUUAGAAAGCAAUUCCACUUACAAGAGCAUCUAACAUAACAAAAUACUUGGAAAUAAAGUCAACCAAGGAGCUGUAAGACACAUACACACGAGGUCGGCGCUGUGGUGUAGCGGGGAAAGCCACUAACUGCUCCUCUUCUGAUCCAGCUCUCUGCUAUGGCCUGAGAAAGCAGUGGAAAAUGGCCCAAGUGCUUGGGCCCCUGCACCCGCGUGGGAGACCCAGAAGCUCUUGGCUCCUGGCUUUGGAUUGGCCCAGCUCCAGCCACUGCGGCCAGUUGGCGAGUGAACCAGCAGGUGAAAGACCUCCCUCUCUCUCUCUGCCUCUCCUUCUCUGUGUAACUCUUUAAAAUAAAUAAAUAAAUCUUAAAAAAAAAUACACACUUAACUACAAAACAGUACCAGAAGAAAUUAAAGAUGAUCUAAAUAAAUGGAAAGAUAUCCCAUGUACACAGACAAGGAUACUAAAUAUUGUCAACAUCAAUACUACCCAACUCAAGGCAAUCUACAUGUUCAUCAGAAUCCCUAAUAAAAUUAUGAAAUUCUGCAGAAAUAAAAGCCGAUUCUCAAAUUCAUAAUAUAUUAGAAAAGUUCUGAGCAGCUGAACCUAAAAAAUAAAAACUUAAAGCACCUGACAGUUUCAAAAAUCACCAAAGUCACAGAAAAUUAUGUUACUGGCAUGUAGACAUUUAUGCCGGUGGAACAGAACUGAGAGUUUAGAAACAGACCCAAAUGGCUGAUUUUCAACAAAAAAGUACCAAUGAGGAAAGAAGAAUUUCUCUAACAGAUGGUGGUUAAACAAAUGAAAUUCUGCACGUCAAAGAAGAGCUGGGUUCCCACUCACACUAUAUACAAAUACCUAAAAUGGAUCAACAACUUAAAAGAGUUAAAUCACAAAACUCAGAAUAGAUGGAAUAAAUAAUCAUGAUGGAUUUGGCAAUGGAUUCUUUUUUUUUUUUUUUUUGAUAGGCAGAGUUAGAUAGUGAGAGAGAGAGAGACAGAGAGAAAGGUCUUCCUUUUUCCGUUGGUUCACCCCCCAAGUGGCUGCUACAGCUGGCAAGCUGCACCCAUCCAAAGCCAGGAGUCAGGUGCUUCCUCCCUGUCUCCCAUGUGGGUGCAAGGCCCAAGCACCUAGGCCAUCCUCCACUGCACUCCCGGGCCACAGCAGAGAGCUGGACUAGAAGAGGAGCAACAGGGACAGAAUCCAGCACCCCAACCGGGGCUAGAACCCAAAGUGCCGGUGCCACAGGCGGAGGAUUAGCCUAGUGAGCCGCGGUGCCAGCCCGCAAAAGACUUUUUAAUUUUUUUUUUUUUUUUUGGACAGGCAGAGUGGACAAUGAGAGAGAGAGAGAGAGAGAAAGGUCUUCCUUUACCGUUGGUUCACCCUCCAAUGGCCACCGUGGCUGGCGCGCUGUGGCCAGUACACCACGCUGAUCCGAUGGCAGGAGCCAGGUGCUUCUCCUGGUCUCCCAUGAGGUGCAGGGCCCAAGCACUUGGGCCAUCCUCCACUGCACUCCCUGGCCACAGCAGAGAGCUGGCCUGGAAGAGGGGCAAUCGGAACAGAAUCCAGCACCCCGACCGGGACUAGAACCCGGUGUGCCGGCGCCGCAAGGCGGAGGAUUAGCCUAGUGAGCCGCGGCGCCAGCAGCGGCAACGGAUUCUUAAGAUAUGAAACCAAAAGCAUGAGAAACAAAAUAUAAAAUGGUAUCAAAGGACGUUACCAAAGUGAAAGUACAACUUACAGAAUGAUGUAAAAUAUCUGAAAAUCAUCUGGUAAAAGUUUAAUGUCUAUUACAAGAACCCCAACACAACAAAAAAGAUCAAAUUUAAAGGUAAAGAACUCAAGUUAACGUUUUUCAAAAGAUGACAUGCAAAAUAGCCAAAAACAUGAUCAACAUUAGCAUAUUACUAUAUUUUCUUACUUUCUCUACAGCUGUGGCAUUUGACACCUUAAUCCUUGAUCGACUGCCCCUCCCAGAGCCAACUAAUUCCUACGGAUAUGUCAUUCUCCAAGUACACCUUUGAUAAAUAUUUCAAUUCAGAGUCCACACGUCCAAUUGUCUCUAUUAAACUUUUACACACAAAGCCAAUAUACCUCUUGCCCUAAUGCACCUGAGAGCAGCCAACAUUGUGCACAGUGAGUUAAGCUGCCACCUAGCAUUCCAGCAUCCCAUAUGGGUGCCAGUUUGAGUCCACUUCUAAUCCAGCUCCUCACUAAUAUGCGUAGGAAAGCAGUGGAAGACAGCCCAAGUCCUUCAGCUCCUGCACCUACGUGGGAGACCUGGAAGAAGCUCCUGGAUCCAGAUCGGCCCAGCUCCAGCCAAUACGGCCAAUUGGGGAGUGAACCAAAGGAUGGAAGACCUCUCUCUCACUGCAUCUCCUCCUCACUCUAACUCUGACUUUCAAAUAAAUAAAUAAAUCGUAAAAAAAAAAAAAAAAAGAAAGAAAAGAAAAGAAGGGGAAGUGGAAGUGGAAAUAAAGCCCACUAGUUAAUCAGUAGUGACAAUGUACACAUAAAAAUGUUAAGGUAUCAAAAAAGUGCUUUAUUUUAAAUCUUUUUAUUGUUUUUAAAUUAUCCAGCACACUGGCUUCAAGUAUGCAAUGUCUGUGAAGAUUCCUGGGACGAUGUGAUGCGUAAGCUUCUUUAUAUCACAUCUCACUAAGGUCUGUAACGUCCAACGUGUAACAUUUCAGCAAAAGCUGAGGAAAGCUCUGUCUACUAACAAUCAGGCAGCUCUUGAGUUGCUUCUUCAGACCAGAGGUUCACUGCUCUGCCAGCUCCCACCCCUCACUCCAGAUUUCCCUCCGGUCACUUUAGUAUUCUUCCCACCUGCACCAGGAUUUCUAAUCCACUUUUUGCAAUCUUCCUCCAUACAAGAAACAGGAACUCUUUUCAUUUUGUGUAUUAAACUAUUGCUUUCUACUAAUAUUCUCCUUCUACCAAUCCUCAUAUGCUCAAAAAACUGUAAGAGAUUAUGAUAAACAUCAACUGUUAUAAAGGCAAAACCUGUAGGUACUUGGACAGUGACAGAUGCUCUGUUCUUUCUAUCAGUAUUGCUUUAUUCAGUCCUUGUUAAUAUCUCAACCUGUACCAGCAAUACAAAAUUCACACAGAUCAUACAGACUUUUUUUUUUUAUGAACCACUUAAAAAUUACCUUCGAUCUUUUGUUUGGCGUAUAUGCUUUUGCAUUGCUAAAUAUCAAUCGGAUAUCUUUGCAAAAUUCCAAAGGGCUGUCAUAAUUUCCCGCUUCUAGAGUUUCCCUUACUGUUCCAAAAUCCAUUGGAGUAUCUAUAAUAUCUCGGUAGUCCUAGGUUUUAAGAAUAAUAAUUAGUUCAUAGAUUUAUUUUCCACUCUUAGAAAUGCAAAUGUAUCUGCUCUCUAAAAAUAUAUGAAAUGAGGAAGAAAAGAGAGCAUGUAGGUCUUAAGAUUCAUUGAUAAUGUUUAAAAAGAAGCCCAAACACAAAAGACAAAAAGAAACAAAUAUACCAAAAUAUUAACGCCUAUCUCUCAGUAGUGGGAUAUGGCACAGUUUUUUUGAUUUUCUGCUUUAUACUCUUCAGAAACUUCCAAGCUUCCUACAAUAAUUCUCUGCUCCUAUAAUCAAACUAUUUUUAGGUCCUUUAUUUGAGGAGUAAAAACAGAUACUUUUACCCAAUUUAUAGUUUUUCUGGUAGUGCACCUACGAAGAUAAUAAUGAUGUAGAAACUUCCCAUUUUUACAUAAAACACUAAGUUCUUAGAUUUGUUACAACAAUGUUAAAUUACAGAAAACUAUAUAAAACUAUUUCUACAGCUAAAUUAGUAAAUAGAGAUAAAAUUAACAGAAAAUCUAAACAUUUUUUAAAAGUUUAAAAUAAUUCUAACCCAAACUCCUCACCAUAUAGCAAGAAAAGCCCCCAGCAGUGGAAACUUACUGGAUAUUCAACCAAAUCAACAGGUUGUCUAAAUGGUUCAGAGUCUUCACACUGAAAAAUUAAGUUCACUAGUUCCUUACACUGUCUCUUCCAGUUGCUUUCAACACAGUUCGUAGCUUUGCUGCUCCUUUUUUUCCAAUCAUGGACCUAAAAAUACAUCCAUAAUAUUGAAAAUGUUUUCAGUCUUAGGAAAUUCACACUGUAAGACAAGACUGGUAAAAAUGUAACUCAGCUUCUCUCUUCUGUAUUGUGUACUAAGAAUUAUGGCUAUUUUAGAUUGUCUUUGCAGUUGGAAAAAUCUGUUUUUUCACACAAUAAUGUCACAGAUUUUGCUCUAUUUUUCCAGAAUCAAAAUUUUAAAGCUUGUCAUUUAAUAUGUUUUAAUAUAACCUGCCAGUCCCAGAAAAAACUUAAGAUUAGCUAAGAAUAGUAUUCUUUUGGGGCACAUUAUCCACCAACUCUUUCCCAAGUAUAUAAAGCUUAUCGUGACAUAUAUGAAGGAUUACAUGUGAUGAUGUGAAAGAAGAUUAAUGGUUCCACCAAGGAUGUCCACAUCACAAUUAUCACAACCCAAGACUAUGUUACCUUACAGGGAAAGAGGUCCUUGAAGAUUUAGUUAAGGGUUCCUACAGCCUUAGGGGUGGAAGUUUAUCCUGGAUUAACUGCAUGGGCAGAAGGAUCAGAAUGAAGAACUGGAAAUGCUACACGGCUCACUUCAAGUUGGAAGAAGAGGACCUACAGCCAAGGACCUGAGAAAGCUAGAUGCUAGAAAAGGAGCGCUCCCCCAUCUAGAGGUUCUGGCCACGCCAACAUUAUGAUUUUGACCCAGUAAGAUUCAUGUCAAGUAUCAAAUCUACAAAACUGCACAGUAAUACAUUUUAAAUAUUUAAGCAAUCAACUAAAUGUGUCUUUUGCUACAGCAAACAAAGCAAACAUAUAGAUAAUAAGUACUUGGAAGCUUCUUUAAAAAUGAAUCUGACAAAUCAGAUGAUAUUAUUUCAGGUAUAACUUUCUAAUGUUAUUUGUACUAAGCAUAUCGUGAAAAUUACUAUUUGAUAAAAAAGCUUAAAUGUCAAGAGUAUUUGGAUGAAAUUUAAAA